GCGCUCACAGCUCAGCUGGAUAGAGCACUUGGCUCUAAGGGGUCGGGAGUUCGAAUCUCUCUGAGCGCACCA
rnacentral:tRNA from 1 species